ACACACACACCCACAACCAUAGACAAAGAGACUAGUUCCUCUUAUCUUAAGGCCAUGAUACACGGGCAACUUUUUUGGGCAAUAUUGCCAGCAAUAUUGCUGACAACGAUUGCCGGCAAUAUUUUCUAUUGAAAAGUUUUCAUUAUCUGGGAAAUUAGAUCGAUGGGGCAACACAGUAGGCAACUUUUCGGGAUCCUCCAAUCAGAAUACAGAUUUUAGUCAUGUGACUACUUCUCUUGGCUGAAGAAAAUCGACGAAGAUGGCGGCCAAUCUUGCCUGGAGCGAAGAAAUGGAGAGGCAACUGAUUUCAUUUUUCUCAGAACACCCGUGCCUUUGGAAAGUGAAGCUUGAGGUCUACAAAGACAAAGACAGGAGGGACAGAUGUAUGGAGGCCUUGCGCAACCAACUAAAUUCUGCACAGACAGAAGUUGUUGUCACAGUCGAUAUCAUUUAAAAAAAAUUCAAAAACAUGCGGACAACCUUUCAGCGGGAAAAUAAAGCAGCAUCCAGUAAGCGGUCAGGCGAUGGAGCAGAUGACGUUUACAUUCCAAGAUGGAAAUACUAUAAAGACCUGCAUUUCUUGAAAGAAGGAGGAGAACCCAAUGAGACCGAAGAUAUCCCAUCCCAAUCCCAACCCAUCCAAAUUGAAACCGCAACUCCACCCAUCCAAAUUGAAACCGCAACUCCACCCAUCCAAAUUGAAACCGCAACUCCAGACAAGACCACUUCCAAAAA